GCCCGGCUAGCUCAAUCGGUAGAGCGUGAGACUCUUACUUUCCCGCAGAGGGGAAACGGGUCAUCUCAAGGUUGUGGGUUCGACCCCCACGUUGGGCU